rnacentral:rRNA from 1 species
GAUCAACGCUGGCGGCGUGCCUAAAACAUGCAAGUCGGACGGCCCCCGCUUCGGUGGGGGCGAGUGGCGGACGGCUGAGUAGCACGUGGGCGACCUGCCCGACCGGUGGGGGAGUAACCCUCCGAAAGGAGGGCUAAGACCGCAUAGGGUCCGGUCUUCGGUGAUCGGAGCAAAGGUCCGAGCGAUCGGACCGCCGGUGGAGGGGCCCGCGGCCGAUUAGCUGGUU